UUUGAUAAGUGUGGAAUAAUUGUAACUGAUUUUAUAAAGAUUUGGAAAGGAGGGGGAUUGAAUUUGUGAAAGAUACUGCCGAAUGUCAUAUGUCUGUCGUAGUUUUCCUAGGUUAUUUUUGCUUUUUUUUUUUUUUUUUAAGUUUAAAUCGGGCCAUAACCCAUUUUAUUAAAAGCAAAAUAAGUUCAAUACAAAAAUAAUGGGUUAGGCCAAAAAGUGACCUGACCUGGAUCUAAAAAAUAAAAUUAUCAGACAAUAUUAGGUUUUGGACUCAUUUUAGAAAGUAAAGCAGUCAGUGUUGUCCCUUCGUCUUCUCCGUCUAGAUCGCCGAUGAGGUUCCCGCCGUCGUGCUUCAGCUUCUUCCUCACCCUAUUAGGAAAUAGAAAGCCAAGCUUUCCUAAAACUAACAACAAUGAAUUCAUCUUCUCCUCCUAUGCAAGAGUUGCUUCAAUGGUGAAAUGGAGUAAAUCUGGUUCAACACUCAAGCAUUUUAAUAGUGUACCGAAGAUUAUCAUGCUGCCUGAUUUAUACUUCCAAUAAUUCAGAUAAGUUUCAUUUCUUUCUUUAAUUUGUCUUAAAUCAGUGGAUUUAGCUUCUAUUGAAACUAAUACCACCACUUAAUCCAAGAGAAUUCAAAGAAAGUAAUGAAAUUAUUCUGAAAUUCGUGAUGCAGUGAUACACCAACUCAAAAUCGGAGCUUCCAUUUCGAUUAUAAUGAACCAGUAUUUGAAUACGCAAUCUUUCGAUACCUCAAGCUCUCACCAGGUGCAGAUCUUAGGAUUUCCCCUAAGGAUGGAGUAACCAAGGACUUAGGCCUCGGCCACUCUCACUUUCCCCUAAGGUGCCAUCUUCAAAAUUAGGCAUACCCUCUAUAUCCCCGUGGAAAAUAUCAUAAGCACAAAGAGGAUAAAGAAAGGUGUCACACGAUUCAACUCCAACUAUGAUCUCCUUAUACAUUUACUCACUAGUUUCAAGUUCAACAACACUAGUAGGCUUAACAUAGGAAACACAUAAAGAAGAAGUACAUGGAAUUUCUAAGCAUGCAACACUUUCUCUUUCAAGAGAGUAGUCCCUACAUUGACAUAAACUAUCAUGGGCAGCAAAGGGAUCACAAGCAAAACCAUUUUUACCAAGACAAUCACAAUUCGGGUUUCCUAAACAAUCAAGCACGUCAAGGUCAUUUCCACCUGAUUGAUCAUUGUCCACAACCUCACUAGUUGUUGGCAACUCAUAUACCAACGUAGACCCACCUUGGUUUUCACAAGGGUCAACUAGUGUGUGAAUACUCUCGUCACUUGGUAACGGAACCUUAGUUAAGUUAUAAGUGCUAGCACUAGAUGGACACAAAUCAUUCUCACGAGGAGAAUCAAUUUCGUCAUCUAAAGGAUCAACUAGUGCUUGCGUACCUACAACAAGAGGUUGGUCCUCAUGUGGCCUAACAAUACCGAGAGUAUCACAAAAAGGAGACUCGAGCACUUCUACCCUAGGCAAAGUCGCAACUACACCUACUUGGCUCCUACUAGCCACAACACAACAUUCUAAGUUUAUAGGAAUGUAGAGGAUAAUGUUUUUACCUCAUAACUCACGUGAGCUACGGCCUUCCUCUUGAUGUGUGUCCAGGUAGCCCACUUUCUCCCUUUGACCUACCAUACGAUCCAACCUUUCAUUUGCCAUAGCUAGGUCUCGGGACAUAGUGCCAAGGUAGGCCAAAAUGACAUUGGUGGCAUUGUUGUCCAUGGGUUGAGAGGUUGAAGCCGCGGGUUCCCUUGUAAUUGUACCUUAAAAAAGAAAAGAAAAGAAAAGAACAAGCCUACAAAGCAAAACACAAGUUAGUUCGAAACAACCUCACCACACUCUCACACAGUUAAUUGUCUCACACUUAGAUUCACAUGUGUUGCAAGUCGGCUCGUAGUUCGUGAUGAAUCGAGGGGUGAGCCUUCUCCUUGGUCGGAAUGGAUUCUUUGUUUGAAGACUCAAGGAAAGUAGUGUCCGAACUUGAACCAAGAAGUACAAUGAUUUUAAAAAUGAUAAAAGCACAAAAGAAACAUAGACACGAACAAUGGAUUCAAAGGACUAAUUGACAAUCUAGUAGGAGUUUACUAGUUUAUUAAUUAGUACUAGGAUCAAUUAAACAACACGAAGGAUCAACAAAUAAGAAACAAAGACAUCUAAAAUUUGAGCUUAAAAAUUGUCGGUGAACAGUAAAACGUGACGUGGCGGCCACGUAUUGGUUGCGGUUGUUAUCAAAUUUUAUUUUCCAAUUCAAGUCUUGAUCCAAUUGUAAUUUGGAAUUGGUUAAGGAGGGAAAACAAGUCUUGAAAUCCUCUUUCAAAUUCAAAAAGCAAGACUUGACUUUUCUCCUCAAGAUAAGGUCCUUAAAUCAUGGAAAAGUUGUUGAGAAGUGAUUGAUAGGUCUUUAGUGGUUGGGGGUCUUUCAAGACUAACAAGUUUCUACACCUUUUCCUUCAUCUUUUUGGAUCAAAUAAGCACUUUAUUUUUCUAGAAAGGUAUGAAGUUAGUGAUGAACAUCAAGAAUAACAACAUCAUUCACCAAGAACAACAACAACAAUUUUCAAGAACACCAACAAUUCCCUUUUCACAGCCCACUCUAAACCCACAACAAUAUUGUCUCACCCGGCCAAGACUACCGUAUCUUUAACAAAAUUGGUCUUAGGACACCAAUUUUAUAACAACAUCACACGGCCGAACUAAGAACAACAACAAUAUUCACAUUACAAUUCCAAACCGUGAGCCACAACAACACCAACAACAAUCGGCCAAGCUUAUGUUCACAACAACAACAUCAACAUUUCAAGCUCAAAUCCAAGAUAUAGACUCAAUGUGUUAGUGAGGAACAAUACUAACACUUAGAGACAACAAAGACAAGUAAAAAUCUUGGCCAAUACACAACAAGAACACAAUUUUCGGCCAAGAACACAAAUUGGACAGAUUGCUAUUUUUCUGGAUUUUCAGUUUUUUUUCAUCAAUUUUUUUUUUUUAACUAACAAGCCCAAGAUUGAUCUUGUAGGAACAAGACAAGCCACGUUUUGAUACCAAAUGAUACAAGAAAACCAAGGGAUACACGAAAUUACACUCCAAACAGUCCACAAAUCACAAGAUUCGAGGACCUAUUGGAGACCAACUCUCGGAUUCACUACAACACACAAUGAUGAGAUAGAAAGAAAAAUAGGUCUUGAAAGUGAACAACAAAAAAGACUGAAAAAUGCCUAGUGUAACUAUUAGAGCCAAGGGACGACUCAUAGCGUCAAGCCAUGAGACGUACGAUGAUUCAUUGUGAUGACAAGUGAUAAAGUCCAGAAGAUGGAACUUCAAAUGCUACAUAUGAUUGCUAAGUGACGGGUCGUGAAGUCAAGCCAGAGUCUUCUUGACUCGUUCUGAAAGAUCGUGAAGUAGAGAAGCUGAAAGAUGUAAAUUUGGACCAGUGACCACGGAUAGAUUGAACGACUUGCGGAGUUGGCAGAAAGAUCAGAAGCUUAAAAAUAUGAGUUAGUUACCACGAAAAGAAGCUAUGAAUUGUGAUGAGAAGGCACGAGUUAUGAUGAGUCAUUUUGAUUAGUCAUAGGCAAAAAUUACUGAAAAGGUGCAAAUCAAGUCUUAGGGUCACGAUUCACUGUACGACUCGUACGAUAACCCAACGAGUUGAGCCACAACAACAGGCGAACGAAGUGCAUGGAACGAGCCGUGACCACACCUGACGAGUUGUCUGACGACUCGUAAGCACUCCGAGCCUGCAAUCUAAUUAUGUUUAGAGUAGGUUUUAUUUUGUGUCUAUAAAUAUCUGUCCUAGGUUUUCUAUUUUUUAUGCAUUAUUAUGUUCUUUGGAGCCUUAGAAACACAUACAUUGUUUUGUUCUUGGGUUUUGAAGAAUUAUUCAUACAUUGAUUCUUGGUUAUUAAAUUUUCUUUCAUAA